UGGGGGAUAUUGCGCAAUGGGCGAAAGCCUGACGCAGCGACGCCGCGUGGGUGAUGAAGGCCUUCGGGUCGUAAAGCCCUGUCGAGGGGGACGAAACGGCUGCGACCUAACACGUCGGAGCCCUGACGGUACCCCUAAAGGAAGCACCGGCUAACUCCGUGCCAGCAGCCGCGGUAAUACGGAGGGUGCAAGCGUUGUUCGGAAUCACUGGGCGUAAAGGGCGUGUAGGCGGUCCGCUAAGUCUGAUGUGAAAGCCCGGGGCUCACCCCCGGAAGUGCAUUGGAAACUGACGGACUCGAGUCCCGGAGAGGAGGGUGGAAUUCCUGGUGUAGCGGUGAAAUGCGUAGAUAUCAGGAGGAACACCGGUGGCGAAGGCGGCCCUCUGGACGGUGACUGACGCUGAGACGCGAAAGCGUGGGGAGCAAACAG
rnacentral:rRNA from 1 species